rnacentral:tRNA from 2 species
GCUCGCGUAGCUCAGUGGUAGAGCGCAUCCUUGGUAAGGAUGAGGUCAUGGGUUCAAUCCCCAUCGCGAGCU